ACUGUGGACGGGGUCCCUGGGCUUUCCCCUAGGGUCCCAUCAGCUGCUUAUGUUCUACCUUCUGACGGAUCACAGGAGGAGCCUGCAGCGGAGGAGCCUCCUCCUCCUCAGCAUCAGACCUAAAGGGAGUGUCCUGCCUGAAGGACCGGCUCAAGGUCGCACUAACAGCUCUUGCUAACUCCUGUUCCAGGCUGUUUAUCUGGGCCUCCAAGUACCCUGCUUGCGCCUGGAGGUCUCUCACCCCCAGGUCCUGCUCAAAGCUGUGCACUUGGGCCCCCAGGCAUGCGGCUUGCUCCGGAAGGUCCCUUACCUGUGGCACUGAGCAUGUACUUCCUGCAGUGCAGUUAGAAAUGCCCAUCCGACUCUGCUUGCAAAGUGCAGAGAGGGAGACACCCUUACAAAUGGAGAUUUGCUGGAUAGAAAUGUGGCCAAAGAGUUCAAUAAAAGGGCACAGCUGCUUAAAGACUGUUACCGGAAAGGAAUCCUGAUCCAGACGCCAAGAGAGGGUUCUUGGACUCAUGCAAGAAAGACUUCAGAAUACGAGUUUUGAAUUUUUGAAUUGCUGUUAAAACUUUCAUCAUGAACACUGAAGUGAGUGAAAAGAGACUUUUGCAGUCAUUUUUUUGUUCUCAGGUCCCUGGACCAUGAAGGGCCACAUCCAAGGAGCUACCCCAGGAGGCCUCUCAUUUGCAUUUGUCCCCGCUAAUGCAGGACAGAGAUCAUGGAAGUUGGGCCCGACUGGAUGAGAUUUGGGGGUCUUUGGAAGUGGAGAAUGUGUUUGCCCUGGGGAAGAGAGGUGAUGUCUAGGAGACCUCUUCACUCAGGGCAAGCUCUAUGACCUGCUUUGACUCCAGAAUGUGGUAGAAGUGGCAUCACAUAAAUUGCAGAGCCUAGGCUUCAAGAGACCUUGCAACUUGCCUCUCACUGACUUGAAGUGCUCCCAUCAGAGCAUCUUGUAAGGAGCAGGUGGAGCAUGUGGACAAGCCAUCCCCACCAGCCCCUGAGACAUGUGAGAGAGGCCAGAACAGGCCAUCCGGACCCCACUGUGCUGGUGGAUGAGACAGCAGAAGGAAUAUCAACCUACCAACAGAAUCCUGAGAAAUGCUCACUCUUACUUCAAGCUGCUGCAUUUUGAUGUUAUGAAACCAUAAAUAACUUAUGAAGUCAUCUUUGCUGACUUAAAGUUUUCCAUAACUUUAUUAUAACAUAUCAAAAUUAUGAAAAAUGUGAAAAGUAGAAAACUGAUGAAUUUUGCUUCUUCAUAUGGUCUUUAAGAAUCUCAAAGGCACUGAAGUUUUUUAUCUUUUCUGUCUUAGAAUAAAAAACCUUGAAUGAAAAUCUGCUUCUUGGAAAAGCAGCAAGGUUUAUGCAGAGGCAAUCUGGUAUUUGUGUGCACUGGCAGCUGAUCAUACCCAGCAUGCACGCACUCUCAGGGCAGAGUCUGAUGCCCCACAUAAUGGGGCAUGGUAAGGACUCCCAUGUCCUUGAGAUAAAAUGAUAAGGAAAAUACACACUGCUAUUAGAAUAACAGGCCCAGCUUCUGCACAUUUUAAUUCCCAAAGUUUUCAUGAAAGACAAUGAUUUUUUGGUACCAUGUUUAACUCUACAAGAAUCAGUAGUGAAAACUAAAAAUGAUACUUUGUGAAAGUUCAUUAAUUUUGUUUUCAGCCAGUGGUGGCCUUGGUCAGAUAGAAUCAAAUCUAUGAUACUUUUUAUCAGAAAUGCUUAUACUGUGUACAAACCCAAAGUGAUGGCUUUCAAAGAUUGAAUUUGAUUAUUUUCUGUAUGGUGCAGAUGAAAAAUUACUACACAGGAGAAGGUGGGUUGGAGGUGCUCACGAGUAACCAGGAAACAGUCUGAAGUUUUUCUGAUACUUCUCCUUGGUCCAACCAAAUGUGAGAUAUAAACACAAACUUGGGAUUCCGUUCUUA
ensembl:lncRNA novel transcript